GGUGAUUAAGCAUUUGGCUGCUAACCAAAAGAUCGGUAGUUCAAAUCCACCAGCCACUC
rnacentral:tRNA from 1 species